CAGCCCCGCCUCCGUCGCGCAGCUUCGCUGAAGGCAAUGUCCAUUCCCGUGUGCGACCUCUGUCACCUGCGGCAGCAUCGGUGUUUUCUGCCUGCGUUGGCAAACGGGGCACAUGGAGCCACUUGACGGAAAAAAGGACAUACAUGGAGCAACUUGCUUGAGGAAGAGAUUUUUCAUCUGGAGAUAUUUGCAUAAUAUCCAUCAGACUUACUCAUACAGCAGUGCAUGAGAUAUAUGCACUGACAGUUUGCAGGCAUAAUGUGAUUGAGAAUGAAAGACAACAUCUGCCUAUCCUGUGUGACUAUCCAGGGGUACAUUUUAGAUUCCUGGGUUUGAAAAUGUGGCUGACUGCAGAGUACAAUUCAGAACCAGUCCUUGCAGUGUUUACUACUCACACAAACGAUUUAGUUGUGCUUGGGCAUAGCACUGGUACCAUCAGCAUGGCAUGGACAAUUACUAGCCAGGAGCUUGGCUGCAUCACCCGAUUCAUGUCUAAGGAGGAAAUUUGUGUGGGCUCCAGCCUCCUGCUGUGGUCUUGUCCUUGUGGACAAACUCCCCUGGGGACAGACUUUCAACCCAGUGCCAUUUCCCAAUGACUUGAAAACCAUAACCCAGAAGAAGGUAAUGCAAGAUAAAAGCUGCAUUCUCCUGUGCGAGAUGUCUCGGGUAUUUUACAAGUCACUUCCCCAUCAUGCUGCUUCUCUCUCAGCUGGCUGUCUGAAAAUUUGACUCUUCAAGAAAUCUCAUAUCUGAAGAAUGUUUGAUUUCAACAAACAAUAUUUAAAUAGAGAGCAACAAAGUAAUUCUAGGCAAAUAGGUAGGCAUGUGUUCAAAAUGCACUCCCUCAGGAAUUUCAGUGUCAUGGAGCGUGUUUCUAAGUUUUCAUCAGAGCUCCAGUCCCCUCUCCUUGAUUUCAGUUUUCCAGCUCAGCUUUUUCUUUCUGGUCAUGGACCCCCUUUUAACUCCAACUUGCUCUUCUUGGCUUGUUAGUGAAAUGCAGAGGUUCUAUAGCUCAUAUUUGUUCCUAAGUAUCAUACUGUUAGUUUCGUUUUAAAAACCAGAUCUCAUACUUUCCCUUUAUUCUUCUCUCCAGGAAAGAUUUUUUUCUCUUAUUCAGGUCCAGCUUUUCAGAGAACUUCAGCAAAUAUUUUUCCAUAUACUGCAGCUAUUUGUACGUUCUACAUUCUUGACAUAAUUUUCCUUGACUUUUUAAUUUUUUUGGAUUGUGCCUCAGGGUUGGGAGUUCUGUUAUGUUUGAGGCGUUUUGCAGACACUACAGGCUAUACACUAUAAUUCGUUUGUACAGUCAGUUGAAACUCAGAUAUUGCAUAUAUAUUGGAUAUAAAUGUCUUUUGGAGAUAGCUGUGUGCUCUACUGGAAAUUAUAUGUAGUUCUUAAAUCUAGCAAAACAUAUGGUGUUUCUUAAGCAGAAGUAGAGCUGUCAUUCAUGUAAACUCCUUAAUCUCUACAAGUGUUCACCCUUCAAGAAGGGAAUAAUAAUACUACUAAUAAUAUUUUUAAUUGCUAAUUUUUCCUAUCUCAUAUCUCCUAUAAAUGUUUGUAAUUUCAAUAGCAAAGGCAUAUUGGGCCAUAUUCUUUACCCCAUUGGAAUGCCAUUCUACCCCAUGUCUAAUGUCCAUUCCAUUUUAUUGUAAAAUCAGUGUAGCUGAGAGAAGAUGAGACUGUCUACAGCUUCUAAUUCUGUAUUAAUUGAGAUCAACAUAUGUAAAUGCCAAUAAUAACUUCUGUAGAAAUAUGAAAUUCUUUUCCCUUUUUCUCUCUAAGCAUGGAGUGUUAAAUUCAUUUGUGCAGAGGGUUAGAGCAAACAUACAUUAAA